GACGAACGCUGGCGGCGUGCUUAACACAUGCAAGUCGAACGGAAAGGCCCUGCUUUUGUGGGGUGCUCGAGUGGCGAACGGGUGAGUAACACGUGAGUAACCUGCCCUUGACUUUGGGAUAACUUCAGGAAACUGGGGCUAAUACCGGAUAGGAGCUCCUGCUGCAUGGUGGGGGUUGGAAAGUUUCGGCGGUUGGGGAUGGACUCGCGGCUUAUCAGCUUGUUGGUGGGGUAGUGGCUUACCAAGGCUUUGACGGGUAGCCGGCCUGAGAGGGUGACCGGCCACAUUGGGACUGAGAGACGGCACAGACUGCUACGGGAGGCAGCAGUGGGGAAUAUUGCACAAUGGGCGGAAGCCUGAUGCAGCAACGCCGCGUGCGGGAUGACGGCCUUCGGGUUGUAAACCGCUUUCGCCUGUGACGAAGCGUGAGUGAAGGUAAUGGGUAAAGAAGCACCGGCUAACUACGUG
rnacentral:rRNA from 1 species